GUCUGUAGGAGAACGGGCGCCAUUCUUUAGCUGGGAAACCAUAUGGCACGACGAGUAAUAAAUAAGGUAUUGUGAUAGUUAAUGAACCUAAUUGCCAGCAAAGGCUUUAAUACAGAGACUGUGCUGCUGAGAAUUUAGCACCACAUUAGGGAUGCCGCGGAGCUCCCCUGACUUCUGAGGCUUAAUUUAAGUUCUAUAUUGCAAACUCCAGAAAAUAAUUCCAAACCCUCCUGCUGGAAAAGCAACCUGCUGGUAGACUGUGAUUAUACCGAAUUACUAAAAUCGCAAUCAAUUUUCUACACACGGUUAACCCUUGCCAGGAAGGACUCACGGGGAGGAGAGGGAUCAGGACGGCAGCCCGUUCUACCUGUGGCUCCGUAUUGAGGACAGCGAGAGGCAGGAAAGGAGUGGUGCCUGAAGAAAGGGACCAGAGCCAGCUCCAGACCAUGCAAGGAGAAAAGAGAAACACAAAUGCUCUCCCUGGUAAGCAAUUGACAGAACGCAGAGAUUCCACUUAAACAGCAAGCAAGAUGGAGAGGUGAAAGGAGUGGGCGUUGACCAGCCCAAGGGCACAGGUAAGGUCGUUGAAUUUCCACCUCUGGUGUCCUUUCCACUUAGAGAGAU
rnacentral:lncRNA from 1 species